rnacentral:rRNA from 1 species
CAUAGGAACAUUCCUAAAGACGAGCAAGAUUUCUUACGGAUUCUACAUGAAUGCAACAUAGACACCGCAAGGAAAAUGCAACUAAUUUCGUGGUUCUAUGGUGAUGCUGAGAAUGUACCAUACACAACACAGGACCUUGUGAAUCAGCGAGCCAAGUUUCACAAGGAGUACCGUAAUGCAGACGUGGGGAGCACAAUUGCAUACUUUGAGGAGCUCAGGGCAAAGGAUCCAGAUUUCUAUUGGAGAAUGAAACUUGAUGAUGAAGAUGGGGUGGAAAAUGUGUUCUGGAUAGAUGGUGCAUGACGUAGGGCAUACACAAAAUACAAUGACAUUGUGUCUUUCGACACAACAUACAUGACUAAUAUGUACAAGAUGCCGCAAUCAAUCCAAUUCGGUUGUGGUUUCAUACGAAACAAACUGACUGACAACUUUGUGUGGCUGUUUAACACAUUCUUGCAUGCGAUGGGUGGAGUUGCACCAAAGAACAUAAUCACAAAUCAAGACUUUGCCAUGAGGAAUGCUAUUGACGAGGUGUUCAUCGGGAUAGUACACAGAAACUGCAGAUGGCACAUUAUGAAGAAAGCACAGGAGAAGCUUGGGAGGUUAAUGGCCGAUGAUGAACCACUGAACAAAGCAUUCAAAGAUUGUGUUGACAACAGCUUGAAUGUUGAGGAGUUUGAGGGAAAAUGGUGGAAGAUGCUGGACGAUCAUGGGCAAACGGACAAUGAGCAUUUCCACUGGCUGUGGGAAAACAGGGAAUGCUGGGUCCCGGUGUACUACAUGCAUGACUUCUUCCCAUUCUUGCAGACAACGACAAGGAGCGAGGGAUUCAACGCUAUGUUGAAGAAGUACGUCAACCCAAAUAACUCGCUAGUGGAAUUUGCAAAACAAUACACUAUAAUACAGGAGAAGGUGAUGGUGAGCGUGUCAAAAGAGCACUUGGAAACAAUGUACAAAGAGGUGAAGACAUACUCCUUCAACCCACUCGAGUUACAGGUGCAGGGCCUCUACAUGCAUAAUCUUUUCACCAAAUUCCAGAUGGAGAUGAAGGUGAAAGCUGGCUACAGAAGUGACACGUUGCAAGAUGGGUCAUUCAAGGUUGGCUCAGUCAGAGGAAUCAUACCAAAAUAUGGGGAUAGGGAAUACCAUGUGCAAGCAAACAAGGAUGAAGGGACAUAUUCAUGCACUUGCUGCAAGUUUGAGCAUGAUGGUAUACUCUGCGCACAUGUGUUAUGAGUGAUGGACCGAAUCGGGGUGUACGAGAUACCUGAGAAGUAUAUUCUGAAGAGGUGGACUUGGGAUCAAGAGGAAGAUCUAAUCAAACCUGAUUUUGAACAACCAACAAUUAGUAAGAGCAUGCUAGAGGAGGGAAAAAGCGUCAUGCAAUAUACAUCAAUGCUAAGGGACUUCAAGGCAACAACCAAGGACGCUUGCCUCACAGAUGAUGGGGCCGGGGUGGCCAAGAAGCACCUAUAUGCUUUCAAGGAAGAAAUUGACAUGCUAACAAAAAGCCAAUGUAAGAAGGCCAGAAAGGACAAGGAAGAAGCUAGAGGAUCAUUCCAAUCACAACAAGAUCCACAUUCUAUUCCAGUGGUCGCAACAAGUGAAGCUGUCCAUGUUGAACAACAAACAAGCAUACCUAACAUGGACAACCAAAACAUGGGACAAACAAGCAUCCCUGUGACAAUACAAGCUAGCGCCAACAUGCCAGCCGCUGCAUCCCAUUCCUCGAACACAAAAACGAUACUAGACCCUCUGAAGACUGUCACGGAAGGGCGGCCGAAAACAAAGAAGCAUCAACAUCCAUUUGACAUUGCAAAACCAUCAAAACAAAGAAAGUGCAGUGUCUGUGGCAGCGUGCACCACGACAAGCGCACGUGCACGUCACCUCUAGCAAGAUGA